GGGCUGAACUGGAGAAGAGUCUCUUUCUGGAGAUCCUUCCUUUUAGAGUUUUCUACUGUGAGCCUAGGAUACAGCACCAGUGAAAUGAGAACUGGGAAACCACCACACCACACUGAGUUUUGUUCCUCCAUGUAUCAGCUUUGGAAAUAUCAUGGGACUUCAGCCACUGAUCAUUGAAGAUUGCUGCCAACAUUUUAGUCUAGUUCUGUAUUCUGGCCUUAUCAGAAAGGGAAGGAAACAACAGAGUACUAGAAAGUCCUCCUGGCAAAAUCCCACGUCUUUUCAAGUGGAAUGCAACUUGUUUCUCCCGGAAAAUUUCAGGAGGAUCAGUUCAACCAUUUUGGAUACAUGUCCCUGAAGUGUCUGCUCUAGUUGGGCCCUCCACUGCAUAUAGUACUCAUGCAGGAGAAGAUCCAGCUGCAUUUCUUGGAUUUCAAGUUCAUACAUCUCAUCAUAUUGAGUCUGUCUUGCAGAGAUGACCCUUAUCACCUAUUGAACUGGUUCUUCCUAGUCUACACUAUCCAAACAAAUAAGCAGAUCUAAAAGGGAAAGGAAUCAAAUGCCAAAAAUCUGAAGAUUAGUUCCACCAGAAGACAAAACAAGAUUCUUCUGACCUAAGGUUACCUCCCUGUUUUACCUACCAACUGAAAUGUGACUUACAGGAGAAGGUGUGGAGUCCUUUCACUUCGGUGAGUCUGAUGUCUUCUCUUGUGCUGUCUUGCCAGUUAAUUCUUUAGAAAUGUGGGUUUGAAUCUCCUCAGGAAGGAGAAGGAAUUAAAUCUAUGUGACUCUGGCUGGGCAGGAUUAUAGACUGUUCCAAAAGAAAGUGAUUCUUCAUUUCCACCCCGCUCCCUACAUCUUAACAGAAGAUGCUGAGCUAUGUCUUGGAGGAAGAUCAGGCCUCAAUGUGCAUUGGCUAUCUACUCCAUCUUACCAUCAUCAUAUUUAGAUAGGGGAUUAUCUACUUUCUUCCUGUGAAUGACCCAGUAAUGGAGUGUUCAUGUCUAACACAACCAAGUUACUCCACCAUUAUGCAGGAGCAGGACUAAUUGUUGCCCAUGACAAGGAAUCCCAGUGGAGCUCAUACACGAGGUGGCUUAAGUAGCAAUGAGGUGGAGGAGGGUGUCCCAGCUAUGCUGUAUGAUAUGGCCCCAUGCAAACACUCUGGAGGGAUUUGGGGCUCUGUUUUACAAGUGACAGGACAUUAUGCAGUUAAAAGGUAUGUUCUGUACAUGUGUACUCAUGUUUAUUU